GUAACAAGGUUUCCGUAGGUGAACCUGCGGAAGGAUCAUUACAGAAUGAAAAGUGCUUAACUGCAUUUUUUCUUACACAUGUGUUUUUCUCUUUUUGAAAACUUUGCUUUGGUAGGCCUUCUAUAUGGGGCCUGCCAGAGAUUAAACUCAACCAAAUUUUAUUUAAUGUCAACCGAUUAUUUAAUAGUCAAAACUUUCAACAACGGAUCUCUUGGUUCUCGCAUCGAUGAAGAACGCAGCGAAAUGCGAUAAGUAAUAUGAAUUGCAGAUAUUCGUGAAUCAUCGAAUCUUUGAACGCACAUUGCGCCCUUUGGUAUUCCAAAGGGCAUGCCUGUUUGAGCGUCAUUUCUCCCUCAAACCCUCGGGUUUGGUGUUGAGCGAUACGCUGGGUUUGCUUGAAAGAAAGGCGGAGUAUAAACUAAUGGAUAGGUUUUUUCCACUCAUUGGUACAAACUCCAAAACUUCUUCCAAAUUCGACCUCAAAUCAGGUAGGACUACCCGCUGAACUUAAGCAUAUCA
rnacentral:misc_RNA from 1 species